GCCUUCGUGAUACAGUGGUCAGCACGCUCGACGCGUAACCGAGAGGUCCGUGGUUCGAUUCCCGGCGAAGGCG
rnacentral:tRNA from 1 species